GUGACUGCGGAAGGAUCAUUAA
rnacentral:rRNA from 1 species